UACGUAGGGCGCAAGCGUUAUCCGGAAUUAUUGGGCGUAAAGAGCUCGUAGGCGGUUUGUCGCGUCUGCUGUGAAAACCCGAGGCUCAACCUCGGGCCUGCAGUGGGUACGGGCAGACUAGAGUGCGGUAGGGGGAGAUUGGAAUUCCUGGUGUAGCGGUGGAAUGCGCAGAUAUCAGGAGGAACACCAAUGGCGAAGGCAGAUCUCUGGGCCGUAACUGACGCUGAGGAGCGAAAGCGUGGGGAGCGAACAGG
rnacentral:rRNA from 1 species